ACUGUAAUAAUCAUCAUGGCUUUGGUGUGGCUGCAAGCAGCAGUUGUUGACGGGUGCAUUCAAAACGAUGCAAGGUGUUCCUCUUACGAUUUCCCGUGUUGCUCGAAUUCGGUAUGCGUAUAUGUUCUUCUUGAGGGUAAUAGAUACAAGGACAAGGGGGCAAUCUGCUCGAAAGGGCCUGGAGGUGUCCAGAAUUGUCUACAGCGUGCUUACUAAUGUAAAAGGAGAUUAUCAAUCAUGGUCUCGAAUUGACGAGGACUACAAAGUGUUUCAGGGAUACAAGCUGUAACGACAACGCUUAAAUGCCGAGUGGAUUGUCUACAAAAUUCUGAAACUAUAAAUAUUGUUCUACUUCUAAUUGAUCAGUAAACUGAAAUUUACUUUCUGUCUUUGCUUUGCUUAUUGUAUCAACCAGUGUCCAUGGUAAGUAAAAUAAGUGAGUCAUGUGUGUGGGUGUUUAAAAAGAAUUAAGUUGUGAAGCUUUCGGAUAGAUAAAAACAAUAAUUCUAAACAAAGAUUUACAAUUUUUCACAAGUCUAAUAUUUAAAACCUAGUAUAUAAGGAAAACAACCAGCCUGUGGCAUAUGCCUAUUGUUCCGGACUCAUUUUUUUUAUAACCUUUUAGUUUACUGUAAAAUUAUAACAGACUAUACUUUCUUUUAAGCGAAUUUCAUGUUAAGUGUAAAAGUCAGUUUUCAUUUAAUUACACUCAAUUCCUUUAUGAUGGCAUAGUAAUUAUUAAUAUCUAAUUUUAGCGACAGACAUCACCAGCUAAUAAUGUUUGUAGACGCUGCAGACUCUUAACAACAUUAAAGUUCAAUGUGUAAGUCACACAUAAUUACAGAGAAACAAUUAUUUCUGGUCUCUCAGAAGAAUUCUCCCGCUUUCUCUUUCUCUCACACACACACACACUGACGUACACAUGUAUGAACUAACCCAAGUGCACUAAACCAACCGUUGUAACUGUCGAACUUCAUGACCAGUAAGAUACCUACGCUUAAUGAUGAUGCGGUACAUUAACUUUAUUUCCUAGAGUAGAAUUGGGAAGAACUUAGUCUGGUUGCACCUUGGUCAUGACUGAAGUGAAAUGAUUUUUCUCUACUUGCAUGAUGCUUAACUAGUACUUUUGCAUAGCACACACACGUACACACAAACACAUCGUUUUCAUAUAUAAAUAUAUUUGUAUAAAUUGAAUAUCAGUCAGGUCAAUUUAAGGGGACACACUGGGAGUUGACAAGACACAAACGGGUACAAGACGGUACAGACAGGUAAACUUCUCGUCGGUUGCCAGCUUCCCGUGCUCCGAUGGCUGGGACGGACUGACCUUCUUGAAAUCAUCUUCUUAUGUAAAAGACUAUUAUCGAUCUGUACAUCAUCUACACAAUAAAAUAGAAUGUGGAGGUCACUAAAGACUAAAUGAGGGUUACAAAACAAGACGUUUAACAGAAAAUUGUAAGAGGAUAUAUGUUUCCAUAAUUAGUUUUAUUCUAUCGAGAAUUUUUCAAUUCAUUUAAGUAUAAAGUUUCAUGAUAUUAAUGACUGGUCUCGCUGUUUUAUCUUAAAUUGCAUCUAAGAUUUGUUCAAAAUAAUAAAAUUUCAGUGUAUGAAAGCAAAUUAAUAAAAUUAAAUUAAAUUUUUUUCUUGUUCUCUCUCAUGUAUAUAACUAGCACUAGAAUUGUCUGUGUUAAUAACGUCAAGUCAACACUUACGGAGACAUCAAGGUAGUGUGCAAUACUUUCGUCAAUCUAAUCAGUGAAUUGUUCAUCUUCAGUCGAUAUGUCAUCAAUUAUCUGUAAGCUUUUUUAUGUUGUUCUCUUUCAUUAAAUGAGAUAACGAAUCAAAGCUUUCGAUUUUGCACAGAUAUAUUUUUUAUUCUUCUAAAAAUAUACUUAAUUUGUAACCGGAUAAGAACAGUCGUUUUUUAAUAGCUUUAAUAUCAGCUCUAUUGAAUUAUUAGAUUAAACAGUCAGAUAAACGUUUUGCCUCUAAAUCACUCACAGUAUCUGUGACAAAAAUUAAAAAAAACAUAAUUCCAAACUGUUUCUCCAAAAAGUCAAUCUUUUUCUUUGUCUUCGCUUAGACUAAAAUAUUCAGCCCUUCUCCAAAAGAACACAUUAUCUGUUGUGAUGGCCAUGAAACUAAGAACAACUGUAAUAAUCAUCAUGGCUUUGGUGUGGCUGCAAGCAGCAGUUGUUGACGGGUGCACUCCAAACGAUGAUAAGUGUGGCGCAUGGGUACCACCAUGUUGCAGUAAUUCGUUGUGCGUGAGAGUUCCUGAUCAGGGUGAUAGAUGCAAAGACAGAGGGGACAUCUGCCAGACAUUGCCUGGAGGUGCCACGACUUGUCUAAGGCGUGUAUGGUAACGCAAAAGGAGAUUAUCAAUCAGUAAGCUGAAAGUUAAUCCACCUUUACAUUUGUUUUGAUUGUUUUCAUCAACGCUGGAUCGCAUGAACCCGAUUUGAUAUAUUUUAUAGAAAGAGAAUGGACUGUAAAAAUUCACAUGUAUAAGCAUAUGUAGACGUUUGCCUUUUCAAAAGUUAUUGAUACUAAAUAAUAUGUUGUAAAAGG
rnacentral:lncRNA from 1 species